CAGCAGCCGCGGUAAUACGAAGGGUGCAAGCGUUACUCGGAAUUACUGGGCGUAAAGCGUGCGUAGGUGGUGGUUUAAGUCCGUUGUGAAAGCCCUGGGCUCAACCUGGGAAUUGCAGUGGAUACUGGGUCACUAGAGUGUGGUAGAGGAUAGUGGAAUUUCCGGUGUAGCAGUGAAAUGCGUAGAGAUCGGAAGGAACAUCUGUGGCGAAGGCGGCCAUCUGGGACAACACUGACGCUGAGGCACGAAAGCGUGGGGAGCAAACAGGAUUAGAUACCCCAGUAGUCCCUGUCUCUUAUAC
rnacentral:rRNA from 1 species